rnacentral:rRNA from 1 species
AGUAACGCGUGGGUAACCUGCCUCAUACAGGGGGAUAACAGUUAGAAAUGACUGCUAAUACCGCAUAAGCGCACAGUGCUGCAUGGCACAGUGUGAAAAACUCCGGUGGUGUGAGAUGGACCCGCGUCUGAUUAGCUAGUUGGUGGGGUAACGGCCUACCAAGGCGACGAUCAGUAGCCGGCCUGAGAGGGUGAACGGCCACAUUGGGACUGAGACACGGCCCAA